AAUAGAUUCUCCUAAAUGUUAGACAGUGGACCUUUAAGCCAGUCUAGUUGUAAGCUUUUUAUGGAACACAUUUUAGAUAUGAAGCUGUUUGCAUCUCCCUCAGUCUUACUCCCUCUUUUGUGUGUACAUUAUCCAAACUGUGACAUAACAGUGAAUGUUUAACUAAGAGAUGGGUGCCAGAAUGAUGAACAUGUUAUUUGUGAACAUGUUAUGUAAAAAGGCUGAAAGGAGGAUUUUAAAGGCAUUUCUGCCUCGAUGUGCAGUGGAAAAUGCUGAGUUUGCAUAAUAUUGUAUUUCGUUUAUGAACACACACAAAACAGUUAUGAUAUAAAAAUGCAGCAACAUUUAUUUUUUAUUUCUUUAUUAGUCACUUCUGACAUUCGUAAUUAGUAAUAAACAUUUACGGCCAGCACAUUUCGAGUCAAUCAAGCCAACAUACCCAUCGCUGAUUAUUGUUUGUGUUUUCCCAAGUUUUCCUUCUGAGAACAUCUGAUACUGACAUGUAUAUUUUAUAGAUUUGGCUGUACUGGCGGACGUUGGGGCACUAGGUUUUUUUAUUCAGUACAAAUGAAAUAAGGCAAGAAAGUUCAGAGGCACUGUGGCAAAAGUAUUUAUUUAAUACUCAGUGUAAAGC